rnacentral:rRNA from 1 species
ACUCAAAGGAAUUGACGGGGACCCGCACAAGCGGUGGAGCAUGUGGAUUAAUUCGAAGCAACGCGAAGAACCUUACCAAGGCUUGACAUCCCGCUGAAUAUUAUGGAGACAUGGUAGGCCCUCCGGGGACAGCGGAGACAGGUGGUGCAUGGUUGUCGUCAGCUCGUGUCGUGAGAUGUUGGGUUAAGUCCCGCAACGAGCGCAACCCCUAUCCUUAGUAGCCAUCGGGUAAGGCCGGGCACUUUAAGGAGACUGCCGUGGAUAACACGGGGGAAGGUGGGGACGAUGUCAAAUCAUCAUGCCCCUUAUGUCUUGGGCUUCACACGUGCUACAAUGGCCCCUACAGAGUGAAGCGAAGCCGCGAGGCGGAGCAAACCACAAAAAGGGGUCCCAGUUCGGAUUGCAGCCUGCAACUCGGCUGCAUGAAGUCGGAAUCGCUAGUAAUCGCGAAUCAGCACGUCGCGGUGAAUACGUUCCCGGGUCUUGUACACACCGCCCGU